AAAGUGGAGCAAUCCAUGAGUAAAGUGGCGACCGGGUGAGUAACACGUGACUAACCUACCUCCGAGUGGGGAAUAACUCCGGGAAACCGGGGCUAAUACCGCAUAACAUCGCAAGAUCAAAGCCGAAAGGCGCUUGGAGAGGGGGUCGCGGCUGAUUAGCUAGUUGGUAGGGUAAUGGCCUACCAAGGCGAAGAUCGGUAUCCGGCCUGAGAGGGCGCACGGACACACUGGAACUGAAACACGGUCCAGACUCCUACGGGAGGCAGCAGUGGGGAAUUUUGCGCAAUGGGGGAAACCCUGACGCAGCAACGCCGCGUGGAGGAUGAAGCCCCUUGGGGCGUAAACUCCUUUCGACCAAGACGAUAAUGACGGUACUGGUGGAAGAAGCACCGGCUAACUCUGUGCCAGCAGCCGCGGUAAUACAGAGGGUGCGAGCGUUGUUCGGAAUUAUUGGGCGUAAAGGGCGCGUAGGCGGUGCCACAAGUCACCUGUGAAAUCUCCGGGCUUAACUCGGAGCCUGCAGGCGAAACUGUGGUGCUGGAGUGUGGGAGAGGUGCGUGGAAUUCCCGGUGUAGCGGUGAAAUGCGUANAUAUCGGGAGGAACACCUGUGGCGAAAGCGGCGCACUGGACCAUAACUGACGCUGAGGCGCGAAAGCUAGGGGAGCAAACAGGAUUAGAUACCCUGGUAGUCCUAGCCCUAAACGAUGAUUGCUUGGUGUAGCAGGUACCCAAUCCUGCUGUGCCGCAGCUAACGCGAUAAGCAAUCCGCCUGGGGAGUACGGUCGCAAGGCUGAAACUC
rnacentral:rRNA from 1 species